rnacentral:rRNA from 1 species
UACAGGGGGGGCAAGCGUUGUUCGGAAUUACUGGGCGUAAAGGGCUCGUAGGCGCCAACUAAGUCAUACGUGAAAUCCCUCGGCUUAACCGGGGAACUGCGUCUGAUACUGGUUGGCUUGAAUCCGGGAGAGGGAUGUGGAAUUCCAGGUGUAGCGGUGAAAUGCGUAGAUAUCUGGAGGAACACCGGUGGCGAAGGCGGCAUCCUGGACCGGUAUUGACGCUGAGGAGCGAAAGCCAGGGGAGCAAACGGG